rnacentral:rRNA from 1 species
AUUGAACGCUGGCGGCAUGCUUUACACAUGCAAGUCGAACGGUAACAGGGUGCUUGCACCGCUGACGAGUGGCGAACGGGUGAGUAAUGCGUCGGAACGUGCCGAGUAGUGGGGGAUAACGCAGCGAAAGUUGUGCUAAUACCGCAUACGUACUGAGGUAGAAAGUGGGGGACCUUCGGGCCUCACGCUAUUCGAGCGGCCGACGUCUGAUUAGCUGGUAGGUGAGGUAAAGGCUCACCUAGGCGACGAUCAGUAGCGGGUCUGAGAGGAUGAUCCGCCACACUGGGACUGAGACACGGCCCAGACUCCUACGGGAGGCGGCAGUGGGGAAUUUUGGACAAUGGGCGAAAGCCUGAUCCAGCCAUGCCGCGUGUCUGAAGAAGGCCUUCGGGUUGUAAAGGACUUUUGUCAGGGAGGAAAUCCCUAGUGCUAAUAACACUGGGGGAUGACAGUACCUGAAGAAUAAGCACCGGCUAACUACGUGCCAGCCGCCGCGGUAA